GAUGAACGCUAGCGGCAGGCUUAACACAUGCAAGUCGAGGGGUAACAGGGAGUGCUUGCACUUUGCUGACGACCGGCGCACGGGUGCGUAACGCGUAUAGAACCUACCUUAUAUUGGGGGAUAGCCCAGAGAAAUUUGGAUUAAUACCCCAUAGUAUUGGGAUGUGGCAUCACAACCUAAUUAAAGAUUUAUCGAUAUAAGAUGGCUAUGCGUUCUAUUAGCUAGUUGGUAUGGUAACGGCAUACCAAGGCUACGAUAGAUAGGGGUCCUGAGAGGGAGAUCCCCCACACUGGUACUGAGACACGGACCAGACUCCUACGGGAGGCAGCAGUGAGGAAUAUUGGACAAUGGAGGCAACUCUGAUCCAGCUAUGCCGCGUGCAGGAAGACUGCCCUAUGGGUUGUAAAACUGCUUUAUAGAGGAAGAAACCGCUCUACGAGUAGAGCUCUGACGGUACUCUACGAAUAAGGAUCGGCUAACUCCGUGCCAG
rnacentral:rRNA from 1 species